rnacentral:lncRNA from 1 species
UGGACAACUGAGCCUGGGAGAGGGGAGUGGAACUGAAAAUAAAGAAAGCAGGGACCCGUGGUGUCUGAGCUGGUGUGGGUUCAUUUUUGAUCAUGUGACACACAACAGUUGUCAUGCUGCCCCUUCUAUGGACCAAGAACCUGUGGCUCAGAGAGGUAUUGUAAAUGAUCAAGACACAGCCUCGAUUGCUGAAGGCGCAAAGUCAUGGCCCCUCCAAGGUCAUUCAAGGCUCUGGAAAGUGAGUCAACUGAUAGCGUGCAGCAGCUCAUGGCUUAUUAGGCAGCAACACUGUGCACACCCCAGAGCUUCCAUUUUCCAACCCAGCCAGUGGGAAGUGUGUUCUCGAAGCCACAAAGAACCCACGCAGAGAGCGCCGCAGAGCAGAAGGAAACCAGCGGGUAGCAGAGAUAACUGCGUCCAGAGAGGGAGUGGGAUCUGCCCAGAGCUGCCCAGCAGACCAGCAGAACCCAGUUUGAGAAUGUCAUGUUUUGAUCAUCCCCUCUGCGGGCCCCCACACAACACACGCCCACUGGCCUUAGGUGUCCCAGGAGGGGCCCUGGAUGUGGCUGCUGCUUUACCUCGAAUGUAG